GUCUUUUUGUAUUGUAUCUAAAGUCUAACCUGCCCAUUGAAUUUUUAAAAGGCUGCGGUAUUUUGACCGUACAAAGGUAGCAUAAUCAUUAGUUUUUUAAUUGAAAACUUGUAUGAAUGGUUGAAUGAGAAAUUAACUUUUUUAAUAUAAAAAUUGAAUUUUACUUUUUAGUUAAAAGGCUAAAAUUUAUUUAAAAGACGAGAAGACCCUAUAGAGUUUUAUAAUUAAGGUUAUAUUUUUUAAUAAGUUUAUUUAACAAUAUAUAAAUUAAAUUAUUUUAUUGGGGUGAUAAUAAAAUUUAAUAAACUUUUAUUAGUUAUUUAACAUUAAUAUAUGAUUAAUUGAUCCAAUAAUAUUGAUUAAAAAUUUAAAUUACCUUAGGGAUAACAGCGUAAUUUUUUUUUAAGUUCUUAUUAAUAAAAGAUUUUGCGACCUCGAUGUUGGAUUAAGAUUAAAUUUUAGGUGCAGCAGCUUAAAUUUUAAGUCUGUUCGACUUUUAAAUUCUU
rnacentral:rRNA from 1 species